rnacentral:rRNA from 1 species
AUCGAACGCUGGCGGCAGGCCUAACACAUGCAAGUCGAACGAGUGGCGGACGGGUGAGUAAUGUCUGGGAAACUGCCUGAUGGAGGGGGAUCACUACUGGAAACGGUAGCUAAUACCGCAUACCCUCGGAUGUGCCCAGCUGGGAUUAGCUAGUAGGUGGGGUAAAGGCUCACCUAGGCGACAAUCCCUAGCUGGUCUGAGGGGAUGACCGCCCACUCUGGAACUGAGACACGCGCCAGACUCUUACGGGAGGCAGCAGUGGGGAAUAUUGGAAAAUGGGCGAAAGCCUGAGGCAGCCAGGCCGGGUGUUGGAAGAAGGCCUUCGGGUUGUAAAGUACGUUCAGCGGGGAGGCGUUACCCGCAGAAGAAGCAACGGCUAACUCCGUGCCAGCCGCCGCGGUAAUUC